ACGACCAUACCCACUGGAAUAUACGGGAUCCCGUCCGCUCUCCCCUAGUCAAACCAGUGAGGGCCGAACUAGUACUCAGGUGGGUGACCACUGGGGAAUCCUCGGUGUUGUAUG
rnacentral:rRNA from 1 species